GAGGAAGGAGACGAAGCUGCUGCUGAACUCCAGAAGGAAGCAGAGUUCAACACAGGAAGCAUUCAGAGAAAGUUCCACUCACAAUGCUGCUGCCACACACACUUUUCAUUUUACUAACAAUUCUAACAGGUGUCAGCUGUGAAGAACUCACUGCAGUCCACCAUCAAGAGGACACUUUAGAAGGCAGUACUACUACUCUGGAGUACAAAUACCACAAAACUGCUGAUGCUAAUGAUGAAUUUUACUGGUAUCGACAAUAUCCAGGAAAACCACCAGAGUUCCUCCUGUUCAUCUCAGGUUUUGGCAGCACAAGAGCAGCAGAGUCUGUGAAAUCAGACAAAAGGUUAUCAACUAAACUGUCUGAAGAUAAACGUGGUGUGUAUUUGGAGAUCAGCAGUACUGCAGUGACAGACUCUGCUGUGUACUACUGUGCUGUGAAGCCCACAGUGACACAAAACACUCAGUCUGUGGACUAAAACCUCACUCAGUGACAAACAGCACCACCAAGUGGACACACAG